GAAAAUAGAAUUUGCCUUGUGACCUUGAAGUCUGUUUGGAUCCGGGAAGGUGACUGGCGUCUGGAACACACUCUCUGGGCAGGAACUGUUUGCGCGCGGCCCGCAUCCGGGAUUUCAGGAAGACUCUUCAUGACAGAUGUCGGCUGACUGCCACGUGCGAGGCUAUUCAGACUGUGAGCUCCCCGCGGGCAGGGUGCCCAGCAGAAUCCCAGCACAUACAGGCCCUUCCUUGGUGGGAUGGAUGCUCUGAUAAGAGGGAAUGAGGGGGAACCAGGGCUGUCUGUUCCUGAGAGCAAGGAGCCUUUGAUUCUGGAGGAGCGGUGCGUUCCCGACUUUGAUCUCCCACAAAUCAGGUCUUUGCACACUCCCAAGAGAACAUUUUACAUUUUAAAGGCUCAGUGCUGGCUGUCUCUUUCCCUCACCUGUGGAGCUGCUCUUCCCCCCCUACUGCUCAUCCUUCCAGCAAAACGGUCCCUGGGCAGCCUGCCCAAGACAGAGCCAGUGAGAAUGGGCUACCCAAGAGGGCUCCGGAGUGAAUGAACGAGCUAGUGGCAGCCCAGAGCAGGGGCGACACCGUCUCUCCAUUCCCUGGAGCCGAGGGGAGCAACCACUGUUAAGGGCAGAAGAGCCAGAGUAACAGAAACUGGGAAGCCCUGCUUGCCUGCACCAGUAGCAUGGGGAACUCUUUAAAGCCCUUGCAAAGCUCUGCCACUGAGGCUUUAACACUCAGUGGGGUGGGCUGGGUGGGUAAGGCCACUUCCACUUUGCAAGUGACAGAACAAAAACCCAAAGUGAGUUACCUGAGCCAUGGUGGGUUGGACAGAUCCAAGACGAUAACCCACGCUUGAGGCUCCAUACGCUGUGCUCCGUGACCAUCCCAAAGGAUCUCGAGGGAAAGACCCCAAACAGGCUUUCCAGGGCAGGGCCAGCCAGGGUAGAGAAGAGGGCCAAGCUUUUGGGGCUUCAGACUCCAUGGACACAGGGCAUUGAACUUGGGAGUUUGAAGCGGAUUCCUGUCUCGGUUUCCCGCGUAUCAGCAGUUGGAAUCGUGAACAAAUGACAGCGACUUCCUGAACUGCUUCUGGAAUAAAACCUGUCUGCCUGUAUCA
rnacentral:lncRNA from 1 species